rnacentral:tRNA from 1 species
GCGGGCGUGGUCUAACGGUAUGACGGCUGCCUUCCAAGCAGUCGACGCGGGUUCGACUCCCGCCGCCCGCACCA